rnacentral:rRNA from 1 species
GUGCAGCAGGCGCGAAACCUUCGCAAUGUGCGAAAGCGCGACGAGGUUACUCCGAGUGCCACCCGUUGAGGGUGGCUUUUCCAAGGUGUAAAUAGCCUUGGGAAUAAGGGGAGGGCAAGUCUGGUGUCAGCCGCCGCGGUAAUACCAGCUCCCCGAGUGGUCGGGAUGUUUAUUGGGCCUAAAGCAUCCGUAGCCGGCUCUGUAGGUCUCCUGUUAAAUUCAACGGCUUAACCGUUGAGCUGCAGGGGAUACCGCAGGGCUAGGGGGCGGGAGAGGUGGACGGUACUCCAUGGGUAGGGGUAAAAUCCUCUGAUCCAUGGAAGACCACCAAUGGCGAAGGCGGUCCACCAGAACGCGCUCGACGGUGAGGGAUGAAAGCUGGGGGAGCGAACCGGAUUAGAUACCCGGGUAGUCC